UACGGGGGGGGCAAGCGUUGUUCGGAAUUACUGGGCGUAAAGGGCUCGUAGGCGGCCAACUAAGUCAGACGUGAAAUCCCUCGGCUUAACCGGGGAACUGCAUCUGAUACUGGAUGGCUUGAGUUCGGGAGAGGGAUGCGGAAUUCCAGGUGUAGCGGUGAAAUGCGUAGAUAUCUGGAGGAACACCGGUGGCGAAGGCGGCAUCCUGGCCUGCUACUGACGCUGAAGCUCGAAAGCUAGGGGAGCAAACGGG
rnacentral:rRNA from 1 species